rnacentral:lncRNA from 1 species
UCCAGAUGAAGUACAAGUCAAACUUAGAACUCGGAUUGCAAACCUUUGUAAUUCUGGACAUUCAUCCCCAUAAGAAUCCCACCAUUGAGCUGGAGUUUUUUUUAUCUCUUGCUGUCUUGGCAGCGUCAAUGCCAAACAACCCUUUUGCAUCCUUGAAUGAUUCAAGUUGUAAGUCAAUUUUGCACCUUUCAUUUGCAUUAGGCACCAUCCUUUCUAAGCAUUGAUAUAAUCCAAUUUUAAUGUUGGCAUUAACCUUAAAAUUGGGAUUAUAAUGAUAAUAAGGAUUCAAAUAAUAAGUUGCUGCAUGUAAAGGUCUAUGGAGUUGAAGUUCUCAUCUUGCAUCAACAAUAUUCCAUAUAGGUAUAUAACUAUAUAAAAAAACAAAAAUAUCAUUACAAUAUAGGAAUAUCUCAAUUGGAAAACAUUCAUAUUAAUAGAUGACAACAUUUGAAAUAAAAAUUAGCAAGAUAUAUACCUUUUUUUCACAGAACCAAAAUUCACUUGUAUCUUCUCUUUUGCUUCAUCCAUUGCUUUAUAUAUAAAACUCAUAGCUGGUUUCUCAUCUGAAUCAACUAAUCGAAGAACUUUAAUUAGAGGAUACGCUGCCUUAAUACAUAUAGUGACAUCAUGCCAAAACCUGUUGUCCAAAACACAAUUUUGAAUUCGUUUCCCUUCUUCUAUUCUUGCAAACCUACAUGAACUCCACUGUUUGGAAGUAAACAUAGUCAUCAGCUGCAUUUUAUGAUCAUUCAAACAUCCAGAGUCAAAUAUGCAGUAGCAAACCGAGUGGCAGCAGGCCUAAUCAAAUCCCUUCCUUUCGUAAAGUGCCUUAGCAUGGAAAUAAGAAUGGUUCUUGAAUAAAUAUAUGAGGUGAUUCUCCUCCCCUUAGCAAUAGUUACUUGAUGAACCUCUAACUUCUUCUCAAAAUCUUCUAAAAUCAAGUCAAUACAAUGGGCA